CAGUAGCCGCGGUAAUACGAAGGGGGCUAGCGUUGUUCGGAUUUACUGGGCGUAAAGCGCACGUAGGCGGACUUUUAAGUCAGGGGUGAAAUCCCGGGGCUCAACCCCGGAACUGCCUUUGAUACUGGAAGUCUUGAGUAUGGUAGAGGUGAGUGGAAUUCCGAGUGUAGAGGUGAAAUUCGUAGAUAUUCGGAGGAACACCAGUGGCGAAGGCGGCUCACUGGACCAUUACUGACGCUGAGGUGCGAAAGCGUGGGGAGCAAACAGGAUUAGAUACCCCGGUAGUCCCAGUCUCUUAUAC
rnacentral:rRNA from 1 species